CUUCUCUAAAGCCCUUAUAGGGAAGGUACUAUUAUUAUUCCUGUUUUUCAAUUAAGGAUACUGAGGCACUGUGAGGUUCACUGAAAGCUGGACUGUGAGGAAGAUUCGGGCCGUCGGACUCCAGACCCCAAGCUCUAACAUACUAUGAGGGCAUCCCAGGAGAAGGCAGAGUCCAGGAGGCGGAUGUUGGGAAGCAAAUCCUGAACUCAUCAAGUCCCAUAGCCCCUUUGUCUAUGGACCUUCUGCCAGCAUCUUCUGUAAGGUUCUAGGUAAGAGAAAGGACUCCCCUUUUCUUGGAGUGCAGAGGCUGGAAGUUAAGAGGUAUAUUCGGCAGAGGCCAGACAGGUGAGUGAAAAUGACAUGUUUAAAGAACUGAAAGAAAGUAACUAUGGCUGAAACAUGACAGGAGAGAGGGGAUGCGGAGAGAAGAGAUUGGAGAGGUAAAUGUAGGUCCCAUAUGCAGGGUCUUCAAAGCAAAGGACACUGAGAACCCAUUGCAAGGUUUUGAGCAGAAGGUGGCAUAAUCAGAUUUGGGUUUUAGAAAGACUACUCUGGCUGCCUUGUGGGGAAGAAAAAAAUGUAUGUAUGGAAUGGGAUAGAGGAGGGGUACUUAAGUUUUAUUAUGUCUGAUGGCACAAUAAUUGAUCCAUCAUCUUGGGUUUAACCCAAGGGUAGUUGGGGAGGUAGGAGAGCAGGAGAAUGUAAUGUCAAAUAUGGCCAUCACUUACUGGCAUUGAGAAAUAUGAGGCAUAGUGCUCAAUAGAUAUUACAUGUGUUUCUUGUGGUGGGCCAACAGUCCCCACCUCCUGCUAUUCACACUCUUAUAUACUCCACUCUUUUUGAGGGUGGACUGGAUCUAGUGACUUCUUUCUAGUG